rnacentral:rRNA from 1 species
GACGAACGCUGGCGGCGUGCUUAACACAUGCAAGUCGAACGGAAAGACCCUGCUUUUGUGGGGUGCUCGAGUGGCGAACGGGUGAGUAACACGUGAGUAACCUGCCCUUGACUUUGGGAUAACUUCAGGAAACUGGGGCUAAUACCGGAUAGGAGCUCCUGCUGCAUGGUGGGGGUUGGAAAGUUUCGACGGUUGGGGAUGGACUCGCGGCUUAUCAGCUUGUUGGUGGGGUAGUGGCUUACCAAGGCUUUGACGGGUAGCCGGCCUGAGAGGGUGACCGGCCACAUUGGGACUGAGAUACGGCCCAGACUCCUACGGGAGGCAGCAGUGGGGAAUAUUGCACAAUGGGCGGAAGCCUGAUGCAGCAACGCCGCGUGCGGGAUGACGGCCUUCGGGUUGUAAACCGCUUUCGCCUGUGACGAAGCGUGAGUGACGGUAAUGGGUAAAGAAGCACCGGCUAACUACGUG